GCUCCUACCGAUUGAGUGAUCCAGUGAAUUAUUCGGACUGACGCAGUGCUCAGCUUCUGGACGUUGCGUUGGAAAGUUUCAUGAACCGUAUCACUUAGAGGAAGGAGAAGUCGUAACAAGGUUUCCGUAGGUGAACCUGCAGAAGGAUCACCCUCGGCCGCGCGUCCUCCCGGGCCAGCGCCUAGCUCCCGCUGGUCCCCGUACCCUUCCACCCCCACCCCCCCCCCCCCCCCCCCCCCCCCCCCCCCCCCCCCCCCCCCCCCCCCCCCCCCCCCCC
rnacentral:misc_RNA from 1 species